ACAGCAGUCGCCACGGGAAUACGGAGGGUGCAAGCGUUAAUCGGAAUUACUGGGCGUAAAGCGUACGCAGGCGGUUUGUUAAGUCAGAUGUGAAAUCCCCGAGCUUAACUUGGGAACUGCAUUUGAAACUGGCAAGCUAGAGUCUUGUAGAGGGGGGUAGAAUUCCAGGUGUAGCGGUGAAAUGCGUAGAGAUCUGGAGGAAUACCGGUGGCGAAGGCGGCCCCCUGGACAAAGACUGACGCUCAGGUGCGAAAGCGUGGGGAGCAAACAGGAUUAGAGACCCCGGUAGUCCCUGUCUCUUAUAC
rnacentral:rRNA from 1 species